AUACAGUACCAGUCUGCUUCAGUGCUUUUCUCAGCGUCCAAGAGCCCUCUUCUUUCCAUCAGGAUUUCUAAGCCAGCUGAAUUUUUCCAGAGCUCCAUUCCCACCCAGAAAACAGACGAGAGAGAAAAGUAGGGCAGGAGGAGACCUACCCCAGAGAUAGGCAAGUGUCCUUUCCAUCCCUGUAAGGAGGGUCCUUUCUGCAGGCAACGGGUAAGAUUAUUCAUUACUUGACUCUGUA
rnacentral:lncRNA from 1 species